rnacentral:rRNA from 1 species
GAUGAACGCUGGCGGCGUGCCUAAUACAUGCAAGUCGGGCGAACAGACGAGGAGCUUGCUCCUCUGACGUUAGCGGCGGACGGGUGAGUAACACGUGGAUAACCUACCUAUAAGACUGGGAUAACUUCGGGAAACCGGAGCUAAUACCGGAUAAUAUAUUGAACCGCAUGGUUCAAUAGUGAAAGACGGUUUUGCUGUCACUUAUAGAUGGAUCCGCGCCGCAUUAGCUAGUUGGUAAGGUAACGGCUUACCAAGGCAACGAUGCGUAGCCGACCUGAGAGGGGGAUCGGCCACACUGGACCUGGGACACGGCCCAGACCCCUACGGGAGGCAGCAGUAGGGAAUCUUCCGCAAUGGGCGAAAGCUUGACGGAGAAACGCCGCGUGAGUGAUGAAGUUCUUCGGAUCGUAAAACUCUGUUAUUAGGGAAGAACAAAUGUGUAAGUAACUAUGCACGUCUUGACGGUACCUAAUCAGAAAGCCACGGCUAACUACGUG